UAACUACUCCCUCCGUUUGGAAUUACUCGUCCAAGAAAUGAAUGUAUCUAGAUGUAUUUUAGUUGUAGAUACAUCCAUUUUUGUGACAAGUAAUUCCGAACGGAGGAAGUAAAUA
rnacentral:pre_miRNA from 1 species